GUACUUGCUUCGGCAGCACAUAUACUAAAAUUGGAUCCAUGUGGAGAAGAUAUCAUGGCCCUGUGCAAGGAUGACAUGCAAUUCGUGAGGGUCCAUAUUUUA
rnacentral:snRNA from 1 species